ACGCAUUAAGUUCCCCGCCUGGGGAGUACGGCCGCAAGGCUAAAACUCAAAGGAAUUGACGGGGACCCGCACAAGCGGCGGAGCAUGCGGAUUAAUUCGAUGCAACGCGAAGAACCUUACCAAGCUUGACAUACACCAGAACCCGUAGAAAUACGGGACUCUUUGGACCUGGUAACAGGUGGUGCAUGGUUGUCGUCAGCUCGUGUCGUGAGAUGUUGGGUUAAGUCCCGCAACGAGCGCAACCCUCGUUCUAUUCCACACGUUAUGGUGGGAACUCAUGGAUACUCCGGGGUCAACUCGAGAAGUGGGGAAGAGUAAAUAUCCCCUAUGUCUGGCUUCCAUUCUACAUGGCCGGUCAAGGGUGCAAUACCUAGUGGACGAAUACCCUAAAAAACCGGUAUCCAAUCGAUGAGUUUGAACUCGACCUCCCGAGAG
rnacentral:rRNA from 1 species